CUCAGCCUCCCUAAGUGUUGGGAUUACAGGCGUGAUCCACCGCACCUGGCCUAUACAGUCUUAUUUUCUUAUCGUAUUUGCUAACAGUUUUUAUUUUCUCCUUAUCCCUCCCCUCAAGGGAAUAGGUUUGGAUUUUGGGAAUCCUACUACUUUCUGUUUAAUAAUUGGCUGUAUUUAUCUUGAUUAAUUUAUUCCUUCUGUUUUCCAUGGGUUAAUCUGGCUGCUCUUUUCAUAACUUCUUAAUUUAAAAUUUUAAUCAAUUUCAUUAAAUUCUCUUAAAAUUAGUAAUAUGGGUCUUAAACAUAUGGUUCUCAAUUAUUUUUAUAGGACUGCACACUCAGGAAGUGAUUAAAUUUUUAUAACACACAGAGGUAGGUCUGAGGUUGCUCACUACCCAACGCCCUGCUUCUUGCUGAAUGUCCUGAGGGCCAAAGGGAAGAAAUACCUUUGCACACCUGUAAUCCAUUUGCUGCAUAGGCAUUGGGAAGCUCUGUUAAUGAAAUCAAGUGGAUUUUGAACGCUAUGCUGCAUAUAUUGAUAUAUUCAGUAAACAAUCUUUUAGAAGCUGUUCUAAGAGCUCAGAACACAAAAUGGAUGAGAAAGGGUAUUCAAUAAAUUUUAUUUAUAAAAUAAUAAGAGUAUAGUCACAUCAAUGUUUAGAAAGUACAUAGAAUUGAUCAGGUUUAGAUUCUAGCCCCAGAGCUACCCAUAUGGUAUGUAUGACCCACAUCUGUGCCUCGGGUUCCACCAUGUUCACUCUAUAUGUUGAAGUUAUUUGAAAAUUAAAAUAAUAAAUAGAAAUUAUUAUUAAUAUGUGUUGUAAGAGGCUGUGGUCCUAACAGGAAUAUGUCUAUGCUGUCUGGUGUAUGCUCACUAAAUAAAUACUUAAUGGAAUGCAUAUAUUACUUUGGUGGAACAAAAAGUAGGCCAACUGGUUUCAUUAGUUGUUAUGCAGUCACAUAUACAGGUUGUCCUCAGUUUCAGUGAAAGAAUCAAAAAUGACUAUAUUGUGAAAAUGACUGCAAAAAACAGAAUGAAUUCGGCUUUCAUUUUCUACAUUUUGAGGUUUAAUGGUCUUACAGCAAAUUUUAAAAAGAAAACUGAGAAAAUCUGGUAUAAAUUAUUCAUAAUUGGAAAGGAUUAGGAAAACAAGUAUGCAAAAAAAUAA